UACGUAGGGUGCAAGCGUUAAUCGGAAUUACUGGGCGUAAAGCGUGCGCAGGCGGUUUUGUAAGUUUGUCGUGAAAGCCCCGGGCUCAACCUGGGAAUUGCGAUGAAGACUGCAAGGCUUGAAUCUGGCAGAGGGGGGUAGAAUUCCACGUGUAGCAGUGAAAUGCGUAGAGUAUGUGGAGGAAUACCGAUGGCGAAGGCAGCCCCCUGGGAUAACACUGACGCUCAUGCACCGAAAGCGUGGGGAGCAAACAGG
rnacentral:rRNA from 1 species